UGCCCGCAAGGGAAUGUAGUGAGAGGUGCUGCAUGGCUGUCGUCAGCUCGUGUUGUGAAAUGUUGGGUUAAGUCUCGCAACGAGCGCAACCCCUAUCGUCUGUUGCCAGCAUUAAGUUGGGCACUCUGACGAGACUGCCUGGGUUAACCAGGAGGAAGGUGGGGACGACGUCAAGUCCUCAUGGCCCUUAUGUCUAGGGCUACACACGUAAUACAAUGGCGCGUACAGAGGGAAGCGAACUCGCAAGGGGGAGCAAAUCUCAAAAAGCGCGCCUCAGUUCGGAUUGGAGUCUGCAACUCGACUCCAUGAAGUUGGAAUCGCUAGUAAUCGGAGAUCAGCACGCUCC
rnacentral:rRNA from 1 species